UCUCAGAUACAAUGCCCAUUCUAAACUCACAAAUACGAGGUCUGCACAAGACAGAGAAGGCAAAUUUGAAGGAGGGGAUGACUAAGAAGCUGGAGCCAGGGAUGAACCUAAAGCUCUCAAUUGAGAAAGCCGACUUUGAUUAUGAAGUUCAGAUAAAACCAGUCUCUCAAGGCACAAAUCAAACAGCUCAGCAUGUAGAGUAACAAUAAUAAAAACUCACAGAGUUUGCCACUUUUGUUGUAAAAUUAUAACCUCUAAAAAUUAUGCGAGACAUAUAAAACGAUUCCUAAGAGA